rnacentral:rRNA from 1 species
GAACGAACGCUGGCGGCAGGCCUAACACAUGCAAGUCGAGCGCCCUUUCGGGGGAGCGGCGGACGGGUGAGUAACGCGUGGGAAUAUGCCCUUCUCUACGGAAUAGCCUCGGGAAACUGAGAGUAAUACCGUAUACGCCCUGUGGGGGAAAGAUUUAUCGGGGAAGGAUUAGCCCGCGUUGGAUUAGGUAGUUGGUGGGGUAAUGGCCUACCAAGCCGACGAUCCAUAGCUGGUUUGAGAGGAUGAUCAGCCACACUGGGACUGAGACACGGCCCAGACUCCUACGGGAGGCAGCAGUGGGGAAUCUUAGACAAUGGGGGCAACCCUGAUCUAGCCAUGCCGCGUGAGUGAUGAAGGCCUUAGGGUUGUAAAGCUCUUUCAGCUGGGAAGAUAAUGACGGUACCAGCAGAAGAAGCCCCGGCUAACUCCGUG